AAAAAAUUGUAAAUAUGAAAUCAAAAUAAAGUUUGCAGAGAAAAAACUAAUUUUUUUUAAAACAAAAACUUUGUCGACUUGUUUUAUUCACUGUUUUGGCUCUUUCAAAUCGAGUGUGUGUGAAAGAUAAGAGUAGCUCAAGGGGUAACGAAAAUAAAAAGAUGACUACUUAUAGGUCCUGAUUACUGAUGAAUGCAGAAAAAAACCUGGCCGAUUUGAACAAAAACUGAUUAAAGAAGUAGUUUUGGGACCGAUCCAAAACUAACAUGUCACAUUAUGCGGCCAUUAUUAAACCUACACACAUUGGGGACUUCGAGAAUAAUUUUUCCCGAAAGCGUUGAGCACUGAUCAAUGGAAUUGCAUGUUUUCUAUAUUCUUUACCUUCAUGUAUUACUACAAGUAUUUUUUUCCCCUCAAAUUAAUAGUUGGUGUUACUUGCACGUGCCUGAUGGUCAAUUGAAAUCUGAACACUUACUAACUCAAUAAUUAAUGAAGGCUGAGUGAUUAAAAUUAAUUCAAAUUUUGUUGUAUUAAAACAUAAACAAUUAGUUACAAAAUAAAACAAAUUUGAGCUCU
rnacentral:lncRNA from 1 species